GACAGAGGGUGCAAACGUUGUUCGGAAUUACUGGGCGUAAAGCGAGUGUAGGCGGUCUGAAAAGUCGGGUGUGAAAGCCCUGGGCUCAACCCAGGAAGUGCACUCGAAACUGCCAGGCUAGAGUAUCGGAGAGGUUGGUGGAAUUCUCGGUGUAGAGGUGAAAUUCGUAGAUAUCGAGAGGAACACCGGUGGCGAAGGCGGCCAACUGGACGAAUACUGACGCUGAGACUCGAAAGCGUGGGGAGCAAACGGG
rnacentral:rRNA from 1 species